UUUUAUUUGAGAGUUUGAUCCUGGCUCAGGAUGAACGCUGGCGGCGUGCCUAACACAUGCAAGUUGAGCGAUUUACUUCGGUAAAGAGCGGCGGACGGGUGAGUAACGCGUGGGUAACCUACCCUGUACACACGGAUAACAUACCGAAAGGUAUGCUAAUACGGGAUAAUAUAUUUGAGAGGCAUCUCUUGAAUAUCAAAGGUGAGCCAGUACAGGAUGGACCCGCGUCUGAUUAGCUAGUUGGUAAGGUAACGGCUUACCAAGGCGACGAUCAGUAGCCGACCUGAGAGGGUGAUCGGCCACAUUGGAACUGAGACACGGUCCAAACUCCUACGGGAGGCAGCAGUGGGGAAGAUUGCACAAUGGGCGAAAGCCUGAUGCAGCAACGCCGCGUGAGUGAUGAAGGCCUUCGGGUCGUAAAACUCUGUCCUCAAGGAAGAUAAUGACGGUACUUGAGGAGGAAGCCCCGGCUAACUACGUGCCAGCAGCCGCGGUAAUACGUAGGGGGCUAGCGUUAUCCG
rnacentral:rRNA from 1 species